GAUGAACGCUGGCGGCGUGCCUAAUACAUGCAAGUCGAACGAACGGACGAUAAGAUCGCUCCUCUAAGGUUAGCGGCGGACGGGCGAGUAAGACGUGGAUAAGCAACCUAUAAGACGGGGGUAACUUCGGGAAACAGUAUAUAAUACUAGAGAAUAUUUUGAACCGCAGGGAGCAAAAGAGAAAGAGACCCUGGCUGUCAGAUAGAGCUGGAUCCGCUCUCCGUUUGCUAGUUGGUAAGGUAACGGCUUACCAAGGCAACGAUGCGUAGCCGGCCUGAGAGGGUGAUCAGCCACACUGGAACUGAGACACGGUCCAGACUCCUACGGGAGGCAGCAGUAGGGAAUAUUCGACAAUGGGCGCAAGCCUGACGGAGCCAUGCCGCGUGAGUGAUGAAGGCCCUCGGGUUGUAAAGCUCUUUUAUUAGGGAAGAAAAUCUGUGUAAUUAUAUGCCGCCGUUUUGACGGUACCUAAUGAGUAAGCACCGGCUAACUUCGUG
rnacentral:rRNA from 1 species